rnacentral:siRNA from 1 species
UCAAAAUCAUAUAUCAUCACCAAC